rnacentral:tRNA from 1 species
GGCAUUAUAAUAUAAUUAAGUAUAUGUGAUUUGCAGUCACGAAGUAAAUGUGAAUUUUUGUGCUG